rnacentral:rRNA from 1 species
CCUACGGGUGGCAGCAGUGAGGAAUAUUGGUCAAUGGACGCGAGCCUGAACCUGCCAAGUAGCGUGAAGGAUGACUGCCCUACGGGUUGUAAACUUCUUUUAUAAAGGAAUAAAGUGAGGCACGUGUGCCUUUUUGUAUGUACUUUAUGAAUAAGGAUCGGCUAACUCCGUGCCAGCAGCCGCGGUAAUACGGAGGAUCCGAGCGUUAUCCGGAUUUAUUGGGUUUAAAGGGAGCGUAGACGGGUUGAUAAGUCAGUUGUGAAAGUCUGGGGCUCAACCGUGACACUGCCAUUGAUACUGGCAGGCUAGAGUUCAGUUGAGGUAGGCGGAAUGCAUGGUGUAGCGGUGAAAUGCUUAGAGAUCACGCAGAACACCGAUUGCGAAGGCAGCUUACCAAACUGCGACUGACAUUGAGGCACGAAAGUGUGGGUAUCAAACAGGAUUAGAUACCCCAGUAGUC